rnacentral:rRNA from 1 species
CGGCGGGCGGCCCGGGCCCCGUGCCCGGCGCCCCCCGGCCCCUCGCGGGCGCCCGCCGGAGGUAAACCAAACUCUUGAAUUGUAUGGCCUCUCUGAGUCUUCUGUACUGAAUAAGUCAAAACUUUCAACAACGGAUCUCUUGGUUCUGGCAUCGAUGAAGAACGCAGCGAAAUGCGAUAAGUAAUGUGAAUUGCAGAAUUCAGUGAAUCAUCGAAUCUUUGAACGCACAUUGCGCCCGCCAGUAUUCUGGCGGGCAUGCCUGUUCGAGCGUCAUUUCAACCAUCAAGCCCCCGGCUUGUGUUGGGGACCUGCGGCUGCCGCAGGCCCUGAAAACCAGUGGCGGGCUCGCUAGUCACUCCGAGCGUAGUAGUUACAUCUCGCUCAGGGCGUGCUGCGGGUUCCGGCCGUUAAAAGCCUUUUUUACCCAAGGUUGACCUCGGAUCAGGUAGGAAGACCCGCUGAACUUAAGCAUAUCAAUAAGC